AUGCAAGAGCCGAAAGUCAGCCUCGUCGGUGCAGAAGCCCUAACCUCAGCUUGGCAUGCAGUGCCUUCCUCACGUGGUCUCCAUCAAAUUUUUAGCCUUCAGUCUAACACACCUGCCCCUAAAACUGCACCACACCCCUCACUUCCCAGACUGACCCAGCAACGUCUCAGGACCUGGUCUCUCCUGCUGCAGACGGGAGGCAGGGCUGAGGCCAAAUCCUCCGCCCCCCUCCAGCUGCUGUGCAGAAGUCUCAGUGGCCCCCAGCUAUCCCACUCGGCGUGGAUGUCAGCAGCCUGCCCGGUCAGCUGCUGCAGAAGUGCCCUGCAUCCCUCCUCACCCUCUCCCUCCCCGAGUGUUCUCCCUCACCAGCUGCAAGCACUCCCUCAACCCCCUUUUCAGUGCCGUGCUCCUCAGACCACUGGAGGCCCCCUGACCCUGCAGCCACUUUCUGGUGACCUCGCUCCCUCCCAGCAUUCCAACAAAUCCCAAAUCCAGACCUCCAGCUGGCACGGCUUCCCAAAGCUACAGACCCGGGUGCAGGUUGAACUGUGUCUCCCAGAACUACCUAACCUUCAGUACUCACGAAUGGGAGCUUCUUUGAAAACGGACAAUUGUAGGUACAAUCAGCUGAGGCCAUCCUGCCUGACGGUGGGUCACCAGUCCAGCAUCACCGCUGUCCUUGCGAAAGAGAAGACACACACAAUGGCACACAGAACCACACAAACCUGCUGGCCCUGCACACACAACACGAGGACAAGGGCCCACAGCCCGGACCACCAAGGAUGCCAGCCAACCUCCAGAAGCCAGGACCGAGGGAUGGCCCUUCCCACCCCGAGAUCUCAAACGUCCAACCUCCAGACCAGUGAAACCAUGAAUGCCCGUUUGCCCCGCCACCCGGUUUGGUGGUUCUCGUCAUGGUGGUCCCCGCAAACUAACAGUGACUCUGGGGUCAGUUCCUCCGCCACCACCCCACAGGCACGUCCCACUGUGCACACCGCCCCUCUCAGCCGUGGGCCGGCUCCUGCUCCCAGGGCUGGGGUCGGGAGAGGCCCUGAGACCCACACACCUCCAAGCCAGGCACCGCGGCAGCGCUCCGCAGCCACGUUCUCUGCCCCGACCUCCUGA
rnacentral:lncRNA from 1 species